rnacentral:lncRNA from 1 species
GUAGGGCAAGGAAACUUCUCUUUGUAACAACCAGAGACCAUUAUAGGAAACUACAACCAAUCAAAGUGCAGAAUAGUAGAGUUAAGUCCCAAUAGAUACAUCUACAAAACAGUGCCACAUAUGAGGUUCAUGGAACACUGAAGAAGGGGGGCAGAAAGAUAGUAAGAUCCGGGAGUAUUCUGUAAGAUUGUGUCUCCUAUUAAUAUCAGAAGCUAAAUCCCUAAAGUCUCACCAACAUGAUCAUCCAAAUGUUAACUGAGCAAGGAUGUCAACAAGAAACAAGAGAAACUGAACUGAGAAAGCCCGUGAGGCUUCAAUUCUACACUAUGCAAUACAGAAAUGUUGAGGGCAGGAGAAAGAGUCUCCCCUAGGGGAAAGAAUACCAACUGGUUAUCCAUUUCUCAAUGGUCACCUCUGAAGACAUAUUUUUUUGUGUGUGUACAUAUCUGUAAUGGUAAAUGUGCAGCAACGCUUAUAGGCAGCAUGUAUAGAUAAUGUCAACAGUUGGUUUCUAAAGUCCACAACGCUAAAUUCAGCAUACAUUACCCUAAUUUCUGGUGCCCCCCCCCAAAUCUUUAAUUGGCCUCAAAAAUGGCAAAGGCAUACUUAAAGCAGUUCUCUAUGAAGUGACUCAGCAAGUUCCCUGUUCCCAUUAGUUUUGAUGGUAACAAACAGUAAUUAUUCAGUCCAGAAUGAAGUGUAGGUAUUACUGCCUAAGGAAAUGACCUAUCUUCAUCAUAGAAAAAAAGUAAAUUGAUAUCUUCUUUUUUAAGAAAAACACAAAUUAAAAGUAUUCAAGCAUUAUAAAGAACUGUAUGAAAAUAUUCUCUGCUGUUGGAUUUUCUAGCUUAACCUAAAGAUUAUGCAAAUCACUGGUUCUCUCUUUACAUCUAUGUGAUCCACUUCUUUUCACUUAUAGUUAUGUACUGCUGGACACUGUUCACUCAUGUUGAUUCCUUUUGAGAUCACAUAGUAUUUUUGUGCUUUACUAAGAUGCAGAACAAUUCACUCUAACAUUGAGACUGUUUUUUCCAUGAUCAAUAAAUUUGUGAUUGAAUCAAAUUAUACCAUUUGCUAUUACUCUAGGCACAUAGUCCUCUAGUGUCCUACUUGCCACUAUCUCUGGCUUCACUCUACUGUUGCAGAAAGUCAUUGUCAAGUGUGGUUUGAAAAUAUUAAAUGGAAAAUUCUGAUAUAAAUAAUUUAUAAUUUUUCAAUUGCUUGGUGUCCUGCUUAGCAUGAUAAAAGACUGGACAACCCUGCUCCAUUCAUUCCUGGCUAUAAAUCAUCCUUUGCCAGAGCAUCAUCACUGAACACACUACCUGCCUAUUUGUCACUUUGUGACAUCUUAAUUACCAAAUUAACUCUUUUAGUGUCCUGCUUUAGCCCAAGUAACCUUUAUUAUUUUCUGAAUAAUAACACGGAAGCACAGAAUAAAUGAUGUAUGCAAUUCAGGUAUCUCAACGGGAGGUCAUCGGUUUCUUUAUCAAGAUCAGUGGUUUUCUACCCUCCUAAUGCAGUGACCCUUUAGUAUAGUUCUUCUUGUUGUGGUGACUCCUACCAUAAAAUCAAAACUGUAACAUGCUACUGUUAUUAAUCAUAAUGUAAAUAUCUGAAUUUCUCAAUAGUCUUAGGCAACCCCUGUGAAAGGGUCAUUCCACCCCCCCAAAGGGGUUGCCACCCACUGGUAGAAAACUGCUGAUCUAAAUAUUAUUUUACAACGUCACAAGCUGUGUAGGGAACAGUGCAGUAAUGGGAGAGGCAGAAAAAGAACAGACAUAAUGUUUAUUAGAGUACGUUGUUAUAAUAAUUCUAUUUGAUGCCAUUUUUGUCAGUACCCUACAUGCCUACUUUAUAAGAUAAUCUUAUGAGAAUGCAUAUAAGAGAAUAGAAGAAAUAUAGUAGUUGUAGGCAUUCACUAGGGUUGUGGGUUCUAUAUCCUGAAAAUAAGUUGGUUAUACCUAAAAUUUUACUCAAACUGUAUACAGAAAUUAAUAUUGCUUUUUAUUGAAAAGUACAUGUUUAUAUACACUUAUGGAGGUUGUAUUUUAUGUUUAUGUAGUCACAUUGCUCACUGUGGUGGCUUGUAUAAUUUUAUCCAAGAAAGUCAAGAUAGCUUAACUAUCUUAAAUCAAUUUUUAUUACUUUUUACAUAA